rnacentral:rRNA from 1 species
AUGGAAGCCGCCGACGAGCUGAAGCGUGCACGUGGCGGCGGCGGCGGCCUUGGGCAUUCCGUGGACCGGCUGAGUGCACUGCCGGACGACAUCCUGCACGCCGUCCUUUCGCGCCUCAAUGCCCGGCAGGUCGUGCGGACGUGCGUGCUGUCCACGAGGUGGAGGCAUCUCUGGCGCUCCGUGCCCUGCCUCCGCAUCGACCAGCGGGAGUUCCAUGCCGCCGACGGCUCCCUUGCCGAGCGGCAGCAGUUCAAGAACUUCACCCACAUCCUGCUGCACCGCCAUGACGUCGCGCUCCUAGAAGAUUUUCGUCUCCUCGUGCACCAUGGUAGUGAUAUGCCUCACUAUGACGACAGCUGGGUCCGCCGCGGCAUAAGUCAAGAUGAGACAUGGCCAUGUCGGCUCAAAAAAUUGCACCUUACCAACGUGUUUUUGGAUGGUUAUUUCUUGAGGCACAUCAAUUCGCGGUGCCCUGCUCUGGAGGACAUGAAACUGGAAAACUGCAGCUACUUGCUCACCGAUGAUACUAGCAUCUCCUCCCCCUCGCUGAAGAAAUUGGUUAUCAUCGGGUUCCGCCGUUCAUCACUGGAGAGCUUUUUUUGCCAUUUGAUUUUGGAGGCUCAUGCUCUUGCUUCCCUCGGCCUGGAAGGGGGUUAUUUUGAUAUCAUCGAUACAUGCCUGCCAAAUUCCAUGCCAUCUCUUGUCGAUGCAUCAAUCCGUCUGACUGAGAGCGAGGAGUUCAACUACAACAACGAUGGACAUAACUACCAGAUUCGGAAGCAAUUGUCUUUCCUCGAAGAGCUUUCCAACGUGACCAGUUUAAGUUUGGCUCGUUUCGGGGUCAUGUUUCUUGUCAUUGAUGAUGAUGCUGGUCAUUACUUCCCUGAGUUCAAAAACCUCAAGAAAUUGUCCCUGGUCGAGUGUGAUAUCAGUGAUGACUUCCUCACGCUGGAGCAUUUCCUGCGGAACUCGCCUGAGCUGGAGAAGCUCACUUUGCGCUGUUGCAAGCUCUCGGAUUCCAGACCUAAAAGAUCUAGAAAGAGGAUAAUGGAAAAGGCUCACUCAUAUUCCAAUGGCAUGGCAAGUAUUGAGUGCAAGAACCUCAGGCUCACUGAAGUCAUAUAUGACGAUGAUGAUGUCCACCUAUUAGUCAAGUUUUUGUUGGGCAUGUCGAAGAAUAUGCCAAACAAUAAGAUCGAGAUCACUAAAUUUGAUUAG